GGUCUGGUGGUGUAAUGGGAGCACGUCCACUUUCUUUAGGACUAUCCCAAUUGAAUAUUAUGUGGAAGAUCCUUGUUCGACUCAAGGCCAGGCCA